rnacentral:rRNA from 1 species
CCUACGGGAGGCAGCAGUGAGGAAUAUUGGUCAAUGGGCGCGAGCCUGAACCAGCCAAGUCGCGUGAGGGAAGACGGCCCUACGGGUUGUAAACCUCUUUUGCCGGGGAGCAACGGGCGUCACGUGUGGCGCCACUGAGAGUACCCGGAGAAAAAGCAUCGGCUAACUCCGUGCCAGCAGCCGCGGUAAUACGGAGGAUGCGAGCGUUAUCCGGAUUUAUUGGGGUUAAAGGGUGCGUAGGCGGAUCGCAAAGUCAGUGGUCAAAUCGAGGGGCUCAACCCCUGCCCGCCAUUGAAACUGGCGUUCUUGAGUGGAAGAGAGGUAUGCGGAAUGCGUGGUGUAGCGGUGAAAUGCAUAGAUAUCAGGCAGAACCCCGAUUGCGAAGGCAGCAUGCCGGCUACCGACUGACGCUGAAGCACGAAAGCGUGGGGAUCGAACAGGAUUAGAUACCCGAGUAGUC